GACCUGCGGAAGGAUCAUUACCGAGAGUUGUAGGCUUCUGUCUACCAUCUCUUACCCAUGUCUUUUGCGUACUUAACGUUUCCUCGGCAGGUCCGCCUGCCGUAGGACAAUUAUAAACCAUUUGCAGUUGCAGUCAGCGUCUGAAAAACAUAAUAAUUACAACUUUUAACAACGGAUCUCUUGGUUCUGGCAUCGAUGAAGAACGCAGCGAAAUGCGAUAAGUAGUGUGAAUUGCAGAAUUCAGUGAAUCAUCGAAUCUUUGAACGCACAUUGCGCCCCUUGGUAUUCCAUGGGGCAUGCCUGUUCGAGCGUCAUUUGUACCUUCAAGCUCUGCUUGGUGUUGGGUGUUUGUCCCGCCUUUGUGCGCGGACUCGCCUUAAAGCAAUUGGCAGCCGGCGUAUAGAUUUCGGAGCGCAGCACAAUCCGCGCUUUGUACUCAUUACGACGACAUCCAUCAAGACAUUUUUUAACUCUUGACCUCGGAUCAGGUAGGGAUACCCGCUGAACUUAAGCAUAUCAAUAAGCGGAGGAAA
rnacentral:rRNA from 1 species